CUUUUGAGCGGUGGAUCUCUAGGCUCACGCAUCGAUGAAGAACGCAGCCAGCUGCGAUAAGUAGUGUGAAUUGCAGAAUUCAGUGAAUCAUCGAAUCUUUGAACGCAAAUGGCGCUCUUGGGUUCUCCCAGGAGCAUGUCUGUCUGAGUGUCUAUUCAAACACCCAUCGUGCGAAUCCGCGUGCGCGCGUCCGCCUGGUCCCCGUCUGUAGCGGAUGGGGCCGGGACGCGCCCGCCGUGAACGGGUUCGUGCGGCGUUGAGGUGUCGCGGUCGAGAUGACCGGUCGUGCGCUAGCCAGCCAGCCCUUGUGGUGCUGCUCGGCCCGACCGGUCGGUUUACCGCGUCCCUUGAAAUUCAGGGAGAAAGAUCCGCCAAGCGACAUCCGGUGUCGCGCGGGGAUCAUAGAACAAGAUACCCUAAACGGCCACGGCUCUAUCGCUUUGACGGAUCAAAUCUUUCUCCAUUCGAUUCUUUUUUCUGCUGCCGCCGGGUAGCGGUGGCGGCAUCUCAAAGGAAAAAAGGAAUCGCCUUCCAGACCUCAGAUCAGGCAAGGCU
rnacentral:rRNA from 1 species